UACGGUCGCCGCACGGCGCGCGUGUGUUCGCACACGUCGCGUUCGGGUAGCUUCCUACUUGUGCUCGUUCGCACACUCCAAGUCCGCCGCUUACUCGUGUGCGAGGUGUAACAGCCGAGUCGCGGAUAAAACUCUUCUUAGAGGGAUUCACGGUUCUGAAGCCGUAAGAAACUGAGAGCAAUAACAGGUCUGUGAUGCCCUUAGAUGUUCUGGGCCGCACGCGCGCUACAAUGCCGGGUUCAGCAGGUGUCUAUCCUUCUCCGACAGGAGUGGGUAACCCUGUGAAAGCCCUCUCUCUCUUAUUAUCAAAGGUCGUCACGUUCGUUCACUCGGGCGUGUCACCUCCAUGGCUUGCUUGGGCCUGGGGCUUGCAAUUCUUUCCCACCAACGAGGAAUGCCUAGUAGCGGCGGGUCACUGAGCCCGCCGUGACUCAGUCCCUGCCCUUUGUACACACCGCCCGUCGCUACUACCGAUUGGGUGUACCAGUGAGAUCCUUGGGACUGGCGAACCUUGUGCACUAGCGAUAGAGCACAAGUGUGAACGACGGGAAGAGGCUCGAACUGGUGCACUUAGAGGAAGUAAAAGUCGUAACAAGGUUUCCCGUA
rnacentral:rRNA from 1 species